AUUGAAUAUCUUCUUCUUAACCAUUUCGCAUGCCAACACAACUACGGUUUCUAAAGGGUGAUGACUGUCAGUUUUCAUAAGUAUGGAGACCUGUUCUUCCCAAGUACUGGUGAUGCUAAGAUUCACUUGCUGGAGAUCGCUUUGGUCGCUUCAAUCUCUCUAUUGAUGGUGCUUAACCUGUCACUUCGAAUGUGUUAGCUUCGCAAAAAUAUUCAAUUUGCCAUUUGCUGGAUGCCCCUCAUGGUCCCUGCAUUAUGCUUUACUCUCAUGAAACACCCAUGAUCAUAACAGGCGGGUACCAAAGCCAUAAACAAGUAAGAAAGCUUUAUCAAAAUUGGUAUCACUGGUGCAGAAAGAGAUUUGGAAGACGGUUAAAAAGAGCUUUCGAAGACGGUUUUGAGACCAUCAUUAUUCAUGUUGUUUCCAUAAGUUCAAAAUUUUGAUGACGGCGCUACUCGUCAUGAUAACUUGCCUUUUUAAUGACGAGUAAGAAAAAACAUCCGUCGUUGUUAUUUAAUUUGAUUUGGAAAACGAGU